rnacentral:misc_RNA from 1 species
AAAAAAGGUUCUCUAACAUUGAUAUUCUUUACUACCAACCAAAACAAAAACCAAUGUAACAGGUAGUAUCAAAUAGGAUCGUGUCAAAGGUAGUCUGGACAAUUUUACACUACCGGUACGGUGCACCUAGAACAGGAUACAGCAGAGCACAGAUUAUAUAGCCCUUAGGAUGAACAGCAACCAGCUUUCUUGACAUCAGAUACUUCUUUACCUAUAUCAAUCUUUUCUCCUUUGGAAGGCACGUUUCCGUUUCCAUUCUCACCAUUUUCCAUGGCUUUUCUACUCACGACGUGGUAGAUUUGAGUGAGAACUUCAGCAAAUGCAUUCUCAACAUUUGUAGAUUCGAGGGCAGAAGUUUCCAUGUAGUAGAGGGAUUCCUUCUCCGCAAAAGACUUCCCGUCCUCAGUUGACACUGCAACCAGAUGUCGUAGAUCAGAUUUGUUUCCGACAAGCAUGACAACGAUGUUGGGAUCUGUAUGAUCUCUCAACUCCUUAAGCCACCUCUCAACAUUUUCAAAU